GACGAACGCUGGCGGCGUGCUUAACACAUGCAAGUCGAACGGAAAGGCCCUGCUUUUGUGGGGUGCUCGAGUGGCGAACGGGUGAGUAACACGUGAGUAACCUGCCCUUGACUUUGGGAUAACUUCAGGAAACUGGGGCUAAUAUCGGAUAGGAGCUCCUGCUGCAUGGUGGGGGUUGGAAAGUUUCGGCGGUUGGGGAUGGACUCGCGGCUUAUCAGCUAGUUGGUGGGGUAGUGGCUUACCAAGGCUUUGACGGGUAGCCGGCCUGAGAGGGUGACCGGCCACAUUGGGACUGAGAUACGGCCCAGACUCCUACGGGAGGCAGCAGUGGGGAAUAUUGCACAAUGGGCGGAAGCCUGAUGCAGCAACGCCGCGUGCGGGAUGACGGCCUUCGGGUUGUAAACCGCUUUCGCCUGUGACGAAGCGUGAGUGACGGUAAUGGGUAAAGAAGCACCGGCUAACUACGUG
rnacentral:rRNA from 1 species